CAGUGCUGUAUUGUUGAGUUUUGUAUGAACUAAUCUAGCUUCACUAAGAAAAAAAAAAGAAAGAAAGAAAGAAGAAAAAAAGAAAAAAAAAAAGAACCACAGCUUUGGACAAAAGUCUAUAGCCAGUGCAUUUGAAACUCCCCUUGCACAAGGGCUGACCGUGGCUGGGGGAAGACAGUUUACUCAUUUGCUCUCUCCUUUCAUCCAGUCAGCAGGCCCUCUUCUCAGGUGUAGAUCACCUAACCUAUUAUCAUUUCACCUGUUUUGAUUCUCUGAUGAGGAAAGUCCCAGGACUUAUCAGCUGGUAUAGGCCUCAUGUACAAGACAGCUCUGUUCAGUAUUUGGAAGAAAGAAAACCUGACAGGUUUCUCCGGAAAAGUGGCCAUCCAUGGAAUGAAUGAAAUGUUCCCUUUCUGUUCCAGGGAUUGCAGUGGCAAAGCUAGGCUAGGUCUUGGAGGCUGGUGUAAGGCGAAGCGGGUGAAGGCAGGAGGCUGAUGGAGAGACUGGGGGGAAGAAAAGCCGAAAUGGAUUCCCGGUGCCUUGGAUGGAGGACAAGAGGGGAACUGCAAGCUCCUUCAACUGUUCUGUCCGGUGAGAAGUGAUCUAGCUUGGACUGACAAGAGGCUCAGGGAGCCCUCACGUUCUUUCGCUUUUUUACCUGCCAAUCAAACUGCUACAAGACAACACCCUGAUCUGGCAUGGACAUGUAAAAGCCAGUCUUGGAAAACAGACUCCACCAGUAGGGGGCGCACCAGCCACAUCCCUGAAACCAAGUCGCACAGAACAGCCUUAGUGGCCACCUUCUCCAAAUCCCUGCAAUCUUUUCUCUUUCCUACUCUUCAUGUCCAUGAUUAGCUUAAUAUUACACCUCGAAUAAGCCGAAGAUAUUGCUUUAUUUUGAAGAGUGAUAUAUUUAUGCGUUUCGAGGAGGCCAGUCUCUUCCUUCCCGGGUUCCCAAGAACUAAAACAAACUGUAACUUAAGAAGAAAAGGAAAACCGGCGGGGGUGAGGGGGGCGGGGCGGGGUUGAUUGGAAAUAAUUUAUUGAGAAAAGUCUGCUGCAGGAUUCUUUCUCUCAACUUUUCUGAGUUUCCAGUAAGCAUACUUAUCUUAAGAUGAACAAGAACAGAGAAGCCCAGGACGGCAGGGAUUGAAGAAGUUGGAGUGGGGAUGAUGACGGUUAUGGGGAAGUUUGUAAGAAAGAAAACAAUGCAAAGUUUUGUAAAGAUAAUAAAUGGAAUGUGGCCGACAGAUACAGUUUAGUACAUUUUCUUAGGGUGAGUAGGGUGGAUC